rnacentral:rRNA from 1 species
GUCCACGCCGUAAACGAUGGGCACUAGGUGUAGGAGGUAUUGACCCCUUCUGUGCCGAAGCUAACGCAUUAAGUGCCCCGCCUGGGGAGUACGGCCGCAAGGCUAAAACUCAAAGGAAUUGACGGGGGCCCGCACAAGCGGUGGAGCAUGUGGUUCAAUUCGACGCAACGCGAAGAACCUUACCUGGGUUUGACAUCCGCUGACCGUCCUGGAAACAGGAUUUUCACCGCAAGGGGACAGCGAGACAGGUGCUGCAUGGCUGUCGU